CUAGGACCCAGGCCAAGAGACAGGCAGAGCAGCUGUCAAACACAAACAGAAGCUGCCCUGGGGACCAACCACACUGGACAGUAUGGAGGACUGUGAUGAAAUCAACAGGGCCAGGCAUCCUGCGUCCUUAUGUGGAAGGUCUGGCCAUCACCUUGACAGUGGGUCUACGUGACUGGUGGCAUAUUCUAGGGUUCGUUUCUUGUUGACAGAGACAAAAAAGAGGACCAGAGACCUGAAGGAGGUUGUGAUAGAGAUUGCCUAGAUGGUCACCAAUCUUAGGCCUUCUCUCUGGGAACCAGAAAGACUACAUUAUCCAGCCCCUCCUAAAUGUCCAGGCUUCCCUGCCUAACCCAUGAUCAACCGUGCUAAGCGCUUGACUUCAUUCUCAAGCUGGUUGACAGGAGAUGACAGCCACAUAAAUCAGAAAAAACAGCCCUGGGUUUUGUGCUGAUGCAGCGAAGGAGUGUUUUCUUUUCUGAAACAGGGGACUGAAAAAACCAAAGAAGUCA
rnacentral:lncRNA from 1 species